rnacentral:rRNA from 1 species
CAGUCGCCGCGGUAAGACAGAGGAUGCAAGCGUUAUCCGGAAUGAUUGGGCGUAAAGCGUCUGUAGGUGGCUUUUCAAGUCCGCCGUCAAAUCCCAGGGCUCAACCCUGGACAGGCGGUGGAAACUACCAAGCUGGAGUACGGUAGGGGCAGAGGGAAUUUCCGGUGGAGCGGUGAAAUGAGUUGAGAUCGAAAAGAACACCAACGGCGAAAGCACUCUGCUGGGCCGACACUGACACUGAGAGACGAAAGCUAGGGGAGCAAAUGGGAUUAGAUACCCCCGUAGUCCCUGUCUCUUAUAC